UACAGAGGUCUCGAGCGUUAGGCGGAAUCACUGGGCUUAAAGCGUGUGUAGGCGGAUCGUUAAGUGCCUUGUGAAAUCCCACGGCUCAACCGUGGAACUGCUUGGCAUACUGGCGAUCUUGAGCCACUUAGGGGCUACCGGAACAAAUGGUGGAGCGGUGAAAUGCGUAGAUAUCAUUUGGAACGCCAAUGGUGAAAACAGGUAGCUGGGAGUGUGCUGACGCUGAGACACGAAAGCCAGGGGAGCAAACGGG
rnacentral:rRNA from 1 species